rnacentral:rRNA from 1 species
UACCAGCACCCCGAGUGGUCGGGACGAUUAUUGGGCCUAAAGCAUCCGUAGCCGGUUCUGCAAGUCCUCCGUUAAAUCCAGCUGCUCAACAGAUGGGCCGCGGAGGAUACUACAGAGCUAGGAGGCAGGAGAGGCAAGCGGUACUCAGUGGGUAGGGGUAAAAUCCGUUGAUCCAUUGAAGACCACCAGUGACGAAGGCGGCUUGCCAGAAUGCGCUCGACGGUGAGGGAUGAAAGCUGGGGGAGCAAACCGG